GUGCCAGCCGCCGCGGUAAUACGGAGGAUGCGAGCGUUAUCCGGAUUUAUUGGGUUUAAAGGGUGCGUAGGUGGACUAUUAAGUCAGUGGUGAAAGUUUGUCGCUCAACGAUAAAAUUGCCGUUGAAACUGGUGGUCUUGAGUAUGGAUGAAGUAGGCGGAAUGCGUGGUGUAGCGGUGAAAUGCAUAGAGAUCACGCAGAACUCCGAUUGCGAAGGCAGCUUACUAAGGCAUAACUGACACUGAAGCACGAAAGCGUGGGUAUCAAACAGGAUUAGAUACCCUGGUAGUCCACGCAGUAAACGAUGAUUACUAGGAGUUUGCGAUAUAAUGUAAGCUCUACAGCGAAAGCGUUAAGUAAUCCACCUGGGAAGUACGCCGGCAACGGUGAAACUCAAAGAAAUUGACGG
rnacentral:rRNA from 1 species